rnacentral:rRNA from 1 species
CGGUAAAAGCUCAAAUUUGAAAUCUGGCUCUUUUAGAGUCCGAAUUGUAAUCUGGAGAAGCGUUUUCCGCGUUGGACCGUGUACAAGUCUCUUGGAACAGAGCGUCAUAGAGGGUGAGAAUCCCGUCUUUGACACGGACCCCCAAUGCUUUGUGAUACGCUCUCGAA